GCGCCUGUGGCGGACCCGGCACAGAUCCCUGAGGCCUUUCGCACUGGCUUCGCAGGCAGUCGGUCUGUGUACGGUCUGGUUAAUUCCGGAAUUUCCGGAAUUUAAUAGCUUC
rnacentral:sRNA from 1 species